AGUGAACGCUGGCGGUAGGCCUAACACAUGCAAGUCGAACGGCAGCACAGUAAGAGCUUGCUCUUACGGGUGGCGAGUGGCGGACGGGUGAGGAAUACAUCGGAAUCUACUUUUUCGUGGGGGAUAACGUAGGGAAACUUACGCUAAUACCGCAUACGCCCUACGGGUGGAAGCAGGGGAUCUUCGGACCUUGCGCGAUUGAAUGAGCCGAUGUCGGAUUAGCUAGUUGGCGGGGUAAAGGCCCACCAAGGCGACGAUCCGUAGCUGGUCUGAGAGGAUGAUCAGCCACACUGGAACUGAGACACGGUCCAGACUCCUACGGGAGGCAGCAGUGGGGAAUAUUGGACAAUGGGCGCAAGCCUGAUCCAGCCAUACCGCGUGGGUGAAGAAGGCCUUCGGGUUGUAAAGCCCUUUUGUUGGGAAAGAAAAGCAGCAGGUUAAUACCCCGCUGUUCUGACGGUACCCAAAGAAUAAGCACCGGCUAACUUCGUG
rnacentral:rRNA from 1 species